UACGUAGGGGGCUAGCGUUGUCCGGAAUCAUUGGGCGUAAAGCGCGUGUAGGCGGUCCGGCACGUCCGCUGUGAAAGUCGGGGGCUCAACCCUCGGAUGCCGGUGGAUACUGUCGGGCUUGAGUACGGAAGGGGCGAGUGGAAUUCCUGGUGUAGCGGUGAAAUGCGCAGAUAUCAGGAGGAACACCAAUUGCGAAGGCAGGUCGCUGGGACGUUACUGACGCUGAGACGCGAAAGCGUGGGGAGCAAACAGG
rnacentral:rRNA from 1 species